rnacentral:rRNA from 1 species
UACGGAGGGUGCAAGCGUUGCUCGGAAUUAUUGGGCGUAAAGGGCGCGUAGGCGGGAAAAUAAGUCAGAUGUGAAAUCCCGGGGCUCAACCCCGGAACGGCAUUUGAAACUGUUUUUCUUGAGGGUAGGCGGAGAAAACGGAAUUCCACAAGUAGCGGUGAAAUGCGUAGAUAUGUGGAAGAACACCGGUGGCGAAGGCGGUUUUCUAGCUUAUUCCUGACGCUAAAGCGCGAAAGCAAGGGGAUCAAACAGG